rnacentral:rRNA from 1 species
GUCCUUUUGAUUUUUAUUUAAGGUUUGACCUGCCCACUGAAAAUUUUUAAAUGGCCGCAGUAAUUUGACUGUGCAAAGGUAGCAUAAUCAUUAGUUUUUUAAUUAAAAGCUUGUAUGAAAGGUUGGACGAAAUAAAAUCUGUCUUUAUUUAAAUUAUAAUAUAAUUUAACUUUUAAGUUAAAAGGCUUAAAUUUUAUUAAAAGACGAGAAGACCCUAUAGAUCUUUAUAAAUUUUUUUAUAAUUUUAAUUAUGAUUUUUUUAUUUUUUAUAUAAAAAUUUAUUUUAUUGGGGUAAUGGAAAGAUUUAUUUAAUUCUUUUUUAUUAUUUACAUUGAUUUAUGAUUUUAAUGAUCCAUUUUUAUUGAUUAUAAGAUUAAGUUACCUUAGGGAUAACAGCGUAAUUUUUUUAGAGAGUUCAUAUCGAUAAAAAAGUUUGCGACCUCGAUGUUGGAUUAAAAAUUAUCUUAGGUGCAGAAUUUUAAGAUUUUGGUCUGUUCGACCAUUAAAUUUUU